CCUCCUGCCGGCCCUCUGCGCGCCCCGGCCGCCGGAGGAUGCUGCGUGUGCUCGGUUGUCCUGCCAUAAGUAGUAGAAAGUGCCCAGGAUCCAGGCUACGGUCAGGAUGGCGAUGGCAUUGGCGCGGAUCUUCCUCAUGGAAUGGACUCCAGCAGCAUCACAGAAUCAAAGCAACACCUAAGGAAUUCACUGUUUCUUCACAUACUUUGAACUGUGAAAACAAGAGUGAUCAUAAUAGCUGCAGUUUACUCAGUACCUACCAGGUGCCAGCCACUGUGCCACCACUUCACCUAUACUGUCUCUAAAGCCCCUACAACCCUGAGCUAAGGAUGAUCAUAUCCCCAACUGCAGAUGAUGACACUGAAGCUCAAAGGCUACUCAACUUGCCUGGAAUCCUACAGCAAGCCUCUCUGCAGCUCAGUGCCUAGGGGAAGAGGAGCCCAGUGACUGAGCUGGAGUCACACGCUGGAAGCUGCCUUCAGACCAGAACCUCCCUAAGGGUCCCUCUCUAGCCAGGCUGGCCAACAGCCUUGCUCCCCUGGCUGCCCCAUGGGCCUGGAGGGGUUCUGUGGGUGCACACCCGCUGCUGGCUACCCCUGCCGCCGGCACUCAUCUGAGCUGUCGAGCUGUGUAGGGAUUCCAUUCAGAGUGCUCCAGUAAGGGACUGGCCCCAUAGCUCCAGCACCAGAUGGGCAAAGAGGCCUAAGAAUUCAGCAAAAGGGGAAGUACAUCUAGCCUUAAAUUCUCCAGGCUGUGCCAUCCCUUUCAAAUGCAGACUGCCUUUGUUUGUUUUCUACUACUAAUAUAACAUGAGGACAGGCUCAUAAAAAAUAAUAAAAGGGCGAGAGAUGAGUAGGAGACAAGGUCCUCACAGAUCCCUUUGUUCCUGGCCUUAUCCCCAAACUGCUUGCCUCCAUGUGGCAGAGCUGAGCUGCAGGGUCUCUGGCAGGGGCCCGCUGCCCUGGUCUCCCCAGUGCCGGCUCCUCAUCAACUUUCCCUCAUGACAUCCAGCCUCCACCUGACCUUCCUCUUUUGAUUCUAACCUUUAAUGGGUGCUGGCCCAUCACUUGUGUGUCCUAUGUUCUCUAUGCCCCUCCUCAGAUUUCUGAUCCCCCCCAUUACCUGUUUCACCGACUUAUGGCACUGCCACACUGCCAAGAAUAGCCAUCAUCACUGAGGUCUGCUUCCUAGUCUGGAGCUCUCACUUGCCCCACAGCCGAGAUUGUUCAAGGUAGGAGCCUCUACUGUCCAUUCACAUUCCCCAUACCCUACAUCUUUCCAGAAUCAACACAGCCAAUCUCCCCUUAGCAAGUAAAAAAUAUUCAUGUCCUUCCUUUGUAUGACCCCUUACUGGGAAUCCAGAGAUCAUGGUGCUUAGGUCUUGUAAGUGGUCUCCGUGGAUAGGGUGGGAAGAGGCCACAUUGGUCUUCUGAAGUACUAACUCUCUUUGCUAAAAGAUACUCUUUUGAAAAUGGCUCUGCACGCUGCCCAUGCUCAAUCUGGGGUGUCCUGGCUGUGCUGGAGCACUGACUGCUGACCUCACGUUGCAGGCCCCAGUGUUUGCCACUGCAAUGAGCAGCCUCUCCUGCCUCCCCAGCUGCACACAGGCCCAGGUGGGGCUGGGCUGUCCCCUAGCAGGCCACGGGAAGGUGGAGGCAAGAAGAUCAUCGGGAAGCCAUGACAGUCAGACAAGCAGCAGCAGAUGGGGAUGUGCACUGGGUGGAGUGGACAAAUAGCAUGAGGAAAAUCAGCUUUGGGGACAGAAAAAGCCAAGUGGGAAGUGUAAUAAAUACUAAAACCAGAAAAGCCUGAAGACAGUCCAUCUAGGGAGCAGCAAGAGGAUGGCUAACAUCACUGGAGUUUAGGUCGGAGGGGAGGACGGCAGGAGGAGCCGAGGUGGUCAGUAUUCCAGGGGCUAGGGACAAGAGAAAUGGCACAACAUAAGUCUCUCGGGAAGGGUCACUCACCUUCCAAGCUGUUGGACUCAUUGGCUGCCACAAGAAGAAUCUAUUUAAAACACACCAGGCAUUUUGCCUCAUUCAGUUUCCCUGCCCAGAAAAGGCUGGAGCCAAAGGCUGAGGGAAGGAUUCCAGCAUUAGGACCCUGCAUGGAUGACAUGGCUGAGACCAUUCAGGAUGGGGAAGAUCCCUGCUCCAUGCUGAAUGACCCACACUUACAUCCCCCACCCCCACCCAAGCUGCCAGGCCACUAAACUCCUUGCAUAUUGAACACAGUCCCAAAGGCAGCUUGUGGUACCAUUUCCACUGGGAAAUACUCAAUGGCUUCCUUCAUCCUGUUUUCAAGCUUGUCAGAAAGCAGAUGCUGCUCAAAUCUGACAGCUGCUCUUAAGGGCAUGCUCAAAGGGCACUCCCUGACCAGAGGGAAUAUUCUUAAUGAUGACCGAGAGGCCUUGGGUGUUUAGACUAUGGCAAGACAAAGGAGCGAGCAUGAAAGGGCAUCAAGGGUAAAAUGGCCCUAGGGAAACCAUACGGGACUUGAAUUGGAAAACACCAACAGCCUCGCUCCUUUCUCUGGACUGUGUAUCUUCGGGAAGUUCUAAUUUGGAGAAGACCUGACUCCUUAUCCACCUGCCACUGAGAAAGUAUUAAUAAAAUAUAAGGCUAGGGUCUAGGAGAAGUGGCCC